rnacentral:rRNA from 1 species
GAGUAACUAUGACUCUCUUAAGGUAGCCAAAUGCCUCGUCAUCAUACGUACCGUACGUCUAACGUACAUGUUUGCUUACCGCGUUCACGACACAAGGGCAGCUUCGGACCGACUGGACCCCCGGCAGGGGGACCGACUGGGCCGGGGAGGCUUGAGUGACACCGGGUCCGAGGGGCUGGGGGGGGGGCACUCCCCCCGGUCUCGAAGGCUUGCACCAAAUUGCACGAAGGGUCCCCUCUCGGGGGGGCCUGACGAGCAGCCAACCCCGACUCCCGCCUUUAAAAGCGGGGGGAGGGGAGGUUCAGAGACUAUACGGUGCUAGGUGGGGCGGCAGCCCUGCCGAGGAGAAAUAGUCCGUCGCCAGGCCUGGAAAAGCUGUAUAGACGUGUGGCUUGUCUGACCCUUGGGCCCCUCCGACCGCCUUGGCGGGUGGGGGGGACCGGGGGGAGGGCAUCGGCCAGUGGUCCGGUUGCUUUGUACAGGCCGCCAUCAGACGUUAAUUUGUGACGCGCAUGAAUGGAUUAAUGAGAUUCCCACUGUCCCUACCUACUAUCUAGCGAAACCACAGCCAAGGGAACGGGCUUGGCACAAUUAGCGGGGAAAGAAGACCCUAAAUCUCAAUGGGGUCAACAGGGGGCAAGCAUGGAGAGCUCACUCUUCAAAUCCGUGCUUGUGCGACCCCCUAGUCAAGCUGGCUACAGCCGAAGGGCCCGCUAUAGCGAGGGCCUGGAGGCAAUGCAAGCAGCCAGCUGGCGAGACAACCUGGUACGAGGGAAGCUUCCCCCACCCCUCGGGGAGGGGGGGGUCAUCUCGUGGCGAGCCCUCUUAGCGGGGGGCCGUCGUAACGCGCGGAAAGGUGUCGGUCUGGGCCCUCUCGGGGGCCUGGGCUUAAGGAACGUGCUAAUCCCACACGACACCCGCAAGGGUCGAGUGUGUCUGCCAGGGAAGGGCUUGCAUCCCGAGCCUGGUGGAGACUGUGCUGUGGGCGAGGGGGACUGAUCCCCCCCUUGUCCGUAGCUCGACCUGGGGAGCAAAUGCCCCAGGUGAAGCCGGUAUACAUGGUUGAGCUUGACUCUAGGCACAGAAGCGAGGUGAUUCUAAAGGUGUAGCAUAGGUGGGAGGACCUGGUCCGCCCUUGAAAUACCACCACUUUCGACAUUGCUUUGCUAAUGCUGUAACGAACGAACGGCCCCCGGGCUGUCCAGGCCGCAAGGUCUGGGCUCCCGGUAAGGUCAUAUUCUAGCGCUUUCCUGGCUGGUCAUGAUGGCUUGGCUCCUCUGGGUGAGUACUCUGGGACCGCAAACUGGGCUUCCGGGUCUGGUGCGCGCUGCUCUUGGGGGAACCAGAGAUGGUUGGGCUGCCCUCUGUCUGGCGUCAAAAUGGGUACGUAAGCCGUGUAGCAGACACUCUGUGUUGGGGAGUUUGGCUGGGGCGGAAAACUGCUACACGGCAACGGCAGUCUCCUAAGGUCCGCUCAGAGACGACAGAAACGCCUCGUAGAGCAUAAAGGCAAAAGCGGGCUUAACUUACAUUUUCAGUAGUAAUGUGAAGCAAGAAAUUGAGGCUUAACGAUCCUUAGCGUCGGGUGCCAGCCCACGCUUGAGGUGAGAGAAAAGUUACCACAGGGAUUGAUCAAUCAAGGUACGGCAGGCAAGGCAGGGAGACAAGGGAACUGGGGACGAGCCGCUAGGCCAGCAGCAUUGACCCCCCGACCCCCGUAAUCCCCGCCUUGUCUAGGUAGGCGAAGGCUAGGCGCAACAAACAGGCUUGUAAGGGUUAGAAGCAUGAAGCAUGGCGAAAGCAGACAAGGAACGAUGCAGACCCUCUCUCGAGGCUCCGUUUGCGGCUAGGCCCAGCACAUCACGUGCAUGGGCCCGGCGGAACGGGUGGAAGAGCAGAGGCGAGUCACUUGGUUGCGAAAGCCCUCGACGUCGGUGCAGACCCCCCCGCAAGGGGGCGAGCCGGUCGUGGUGAAAGCUGCAGCGUGCUGCUCUGGUAAGCCCCCGGCUUCGGCUGGGGGGGAGCUGGGGUGGUUGUGCCUCCGGUCAGACCCGUCAGCUUCGGCUGUGAAGGGAGCUGGAGGACUCGCUGUGGUGGAAGCGUGUCUCAGCCCGAUGCUGCAGUGUGCCGUACCCCCGGUCAGACCCGUCAGUUUCGGCUGUGAAGGGAGCUGGGGAUUGGAUGCAACGCACUGUGGUGGAAGGCAAUGCUUUGGGAAGCGAAGCUGGCGAAAGCACCCAAGGAACGAUACAGACCCUCUCUCGAGGCUCCGUUUGCGGCUAGGUCCAGCAUAUCAUGCAUGGGCCCGGCGGAACGGGUGGAAGAGGAGGCGAGUCACUUGGUUGCGAAAGCCCUCAACGUCGGUGCCGACCCCCCGCAAGGGGGCGAGCCGGUUGUGGUGAAAGCUGCAGCGUGCUGCUCUGGUAAGCCCCCGACUUCGGCCGGGGGGGAGCUGGGGUGGUUGUGUCUCCGGCCAGACCCGUCAGUUUCGGCUGUGAAGGGAGCUGGAGGACUCGCUGUGGUGGAAGCGGCUUCAGUCCAAUGCUGCAGUGUGCCAUACCCCCGGUCAGACCCGUCAGUUUCGGCUGUGAAGGGAGCUGAGGAUUGGACCAAACACACUGUGGCGGGAGGACAGCUUUACUUGGGUUACAAGGGCAAACUCACUCGUUGACAAGGACCCCCAUCUAUCAUACCUCGUACUUUACCGGGAAAGGGCAUUGCGCCCAGCACCGGGGGCACUUGGGAGGGGUGGGGCGAGUCAGCUUGUGCGGGAGCCUUAUCCAUUUUACCCCGGCACCUGGCACUUAGAUUCUUUAAGCUUAAGGCGGCAAAAGCUGAUGGACUCCCUGCCCUCGGGCGGGGGAAGACCGUCAGUCUUGGGCAUGUCCUAUAGGUUCCAAACCGUAGUCGGGCUGGGGAGAAGCGCAGGUUUCCCCGGCCUGGCAACACACCUGGAUGCUGGGAAAGUCCAUAUACAACAGCGUACGUACCAACCGUUCCCCGGUGACACCGGGGCGUGAAGCGUGCUUUUCCCCCGCUAAGGGGCCCACCUUCGGGAGGGCCCUGGGGGAGGAGCGUGCUGGUAAUAACCGUGCGUCUGGGACCCAUCAGCAGGCAACAAGGUCACUCAAAGGGUUGGGCGAAAGCGAGUCUGGACUAGCGCCUCGGCGCGACCCCCGGGCCGGUCCCCUAUACCGUAAUGGCAACAGUGACUGCGUGCUUCAACGACUGGAAAGGUGUGGGCCCGAGUGGGCUGCCCUUGCCCUGUCCUCUUCCCUCUGCCUCCUUCGGGGGGCAGACCAAGGGCGGGGGGCGGGGUGGGAGGUGGUCCGCACAGGCUUAUGGUACAGUCUACUCCCACGGCUACGAGGAUAACCCGUUUCAACCCCCCCUCGGGGGGGAGGGGGCGGGUGAGCUCCGGCUGUGCUUCAUUCCACCGGUUAGUGCCCAAGGCGGAAGCCUGGCCUUUCCCCGUUGCCCCACUAGGGGAAGCGGGGGGGGGUUGGGCUGGGCACUUUCCACAACCCACCACUGCAGGGUUAGGUUUGAGGGAGGCGGUUGGCUUCUGUUUGAGUACGGACCCGGGGUCUUUUCACCCCCGGGCAGCCCGAAAGGAAGCUGGCACCUUGGUCCGAGGAACUGGCUUGUGGCCGCCAAGCGUUCAUAGCGACGUGGC